GUGUCAGCAGCCGCGGUAAUACAGAGGGUGCAAGCGUUGUCCGGAAUCACUGGGCGUAAAGGGCGCGUAGGCGGCCCGAUAAGUAGGGGGUGAAAUCUUGCGGCUCAACCGCAAGGCUGCCUUCUAGACUGUCGGGCUUGAGCACAGUAGAGGCAGGUGGAAUUCCCGGUGUAGCGGUGGAAUGCGUAGAGAUCGGGAAGAACAUCGGUGGCGAAGGCGGCCUGCUGGGCUGUUGCUGACGCUGAGGCGCGACAGCGUGGGGAGCAAACAGGAUUAGAUACCCUGGUAGUCC
rnacentral:rRNA from 1 species